AGGGCCUGAGCUUCUGCAUUCAGAAUAGCUCCCCGGUGAUGCAGAUGCUACUCACCUGCAGACCACAUUCAGAGCAGCCACUUUCUGUAGUGCUUGCCACUCCUUUCGGAGACUUUUGUGUUCCUGGCAGGAAGGAGGUGAGGAAGGUUCACAAAAAUUGUGAACUGCUCUUUCUUUCUCUAUCUGACCAAUAGAGGGGGCUGUUGUGUAAACUGGAAAUGGUUUUUCUAUAUAAGAUCAGAAUAAUCGCACAAAAAACUUCCUUCCCUACAGUUUAAAGAGAUAUUCUGACACCACUUUUUGCACAGUGACAUGUAAAGCAUCUCAGACGCCCGAGGCAGGCAGUCUUGUUAAGACAGCCUCUCUCCCAACACACCUUACAACGUCCAUCAGAUGAAGAAAUCUAAAUCCUGUGUCAUUCCUUCUCAACCUCACAGCAACCUGGGUUCAAGUCCACCAGUCAUCCGACUUUUGUUUGUGGAGAAUCUCCCAGAAAGGAGCUCACUGCCUCCUCACUGCUCCACCAUGACCUUGGUGUUCACCUUGAUGCUUGAGGUGCUCCUGUUCCUGAGAGGAGCCGGAGCCCAGUCGGUGACCCAGCCUGACGGCCACAUCACUGUCUCUGAAGGAGCCCGUCUGGAGCUGAGGUGCAGCUACUCAUCUUCUUCUUCGCCCUUUCUCUUCUGGUACGUGCAGUACCCCAAUCAAGGACUCCAGCUUCUCCUGAAGUACACAUCUGGAAACAGCCUUGUCUCAGGUAUCAAAGGUUUUGAGGCUGAAUUUAGGAGGAGUGAGAAGUCCUUCCACCUGAGGAAAACAUCAGCCCAUUGGAAAGACUCGGCCAAGUACUUCUGUGCUCUGAGUGACACAGUGACUAAGACUACAGUGGGAGCUGAACACAAAUCUCCUGAGACUUAGUAGCUUAAAAGACUCAGGGUCUCAGCCUAUGUUAUUUUCAGGAUGUUGGCAUGUUCUGUGAAGGCAAACAGUACAGAGAAUACAGAAUCCUGAAAGUGUCUGGUUCUCAUGGGCAUCUUAGAUUUCUUUUCUCUUUCUUUUUUCUUUUGCAAAGGAAAGACUAUUGUUUUCUUAAUUUCAGUGCUCUCAGUGGUCUUGAGGCUGGUGGGUGGUUUCCUGUCAGUGUCACCUGAGCAGGCUGUGCCUAUA